rnacentral:lncRNA from 1 species
GUUCCUAAACCACCUUAUUCCCCAAGCCCUAAACCGCCUUACGUGCCAAAACCACCUCAUACUCCAGUCCCUAGGCCACCAUAUUUCCCCAAACCACCUUACACACCAAGGCCUAAGCCACCAUAUGCGCCAAAACCACCUUAUACGCCAACCCCUAAGCCACCAUAUUUCCCCAAACCACCUUACACACCAAGGCCGAAGCCACCAUAUGUGCCAAAACCACCUUAUACGCCAGCCCCUAAGCCACCAUAUUUUCCCAAACCACCUUACACACCAAGGCCUAAGCCACCAUAUGCACCAAAACCACCUUAUACGCCAACACCUAAGCCACCAUAUUUCCCCAAACCACCUUACACACCAAGGCCUAAGCCACCGUACGUGCCAAAACCACCGUACACACCAAGGCCUAAGCCACCGUACGUGCCAAAACCACCAUACACACCAACCCCUAAGCCACCGUACGUGCCAAAACCACCUUACACCCCAACCCCUAAGCCACCGUACGUGCCAAAACCACCGUAUACCCCAACUCCUAAGCCACCGUACGUCCCAUCGCCACCUUAUACCCCUCGCCCUAAACCACCGUAUGUACCAUCACCACCUUAUACCCCUAGCCCUAAACCACCGUAUGUGCCAUCACCACCAUAUACCCCAAGCCCUACCCCACCAUAUGUACCAUCACCACCGUAUACCCCAAG